AGUGAACGCUGGCGGUAGGCCUAACACAUGCAAGUCGAACGGCAGCACAGUAAGAGCUUGCUCUUACGGGUGGCGAGUGGCGGACGGGUGAGGAAUACAUCGGAAUCUACUUUUUCGUGGGGGAUAACGUAGGGAAACUUACGCUAAUACCGCAUACGACCUACGGGUGAAAGCAGGGGAUCUUCGGACCUUGCGCGAUUGAAUGAGCCGAUGUCGGAUUAGCUAGUUGGCGGGGUAAAGGCCACCAAGGCGACGAUCCGUAGCUGGUCUGAGAGGAUGAUCAGCCACACUGGAACUGAGACACGGUCCAGACUCCUACGGGAGGCAGCAGUGGGGAAUAUUGGACAAUGGGCGCAAGCCUGAUCCAGCCAUACCACGUGGGUGAAGAAGGCCUUCGGGUUGUAAAGCCCUUUUGUUGGGAAAGAAAAGCAGCAGGUUAAUACCCCGCUGUUCUGACGGUACCCAAAGAAUAAGCACCGGCUAACUUCGUG
rnacentral:rRNA from 1 species